UUAUUAUAGGAUAUAUAUUAUGAAUAUAAUAAUAAUGUAACAUGUAACAAAAUGACUGUCAAAAAGGGACACAUCUUAUGAUAAACUGUGUUUCUUAAAAUAUGAUGUCUUAUUAAAUGACUGCAUUCGUUCAGCUGUAAUGGUAAACACUCGGGCACUUUCAAAUACCAAAGCCUUUGUGAUCUUCUGUUAUAUUACAAAGAUCAAACUGAGGCGUAUGACGCAAAUGAGAUCAAAUGAUUGGCAUGCAGUAUUAAUUUCACUUUAGCUGUGGGCAGUUACACACCUAGUGAGAUUAAAAUGAUCGUUAUUUGUUAAUGUCAAUUAUUGCGCACGGCAAAUUUAAUUUCCAUAAUGUUAUUCAAUGGAUGAAAGAUGAAAAUACAUUAUGAAUCAUAUUUGAUUACCUUUUUUAACUGUGGUGUUCUCUCCAAACAGCAAAAUCGGUAAUGUUCAAUGCAGUCUGGGUUUUAUGGCCGACAAAAGAUGUCCAGCAGGGAGAGAUCGGAAGUCAGAGAGACCGGCGGUGUGGCAGGGUGCACCACCUGUCCACGAGGCACCAAAUCUGGGUCACAAUGUACAAUGAGUCUACACCAAACCCUGGAGAUGCUUAAAUCUGUGAACAAUGGGAUGAAGGCCAGAGCUUCAGAGAUGAUCAGCAAGGAAGGCCUGAUUUCUGACAGUUUCUCCAUCUGGAGCUGUCUUAAAGCAAACCUGAUCAGACGCACACAAAAACAUGAUAAACAUUUUUAGUGAAAGUGACAUAGUGGCCAUGGUAUGGUAACCCGUAUUUGGACAGUGACCUCUGCAUUUAACCCAUCAAGGGCUCUAAAGGUCACUGAACUCUACAUAGCUGUCCAUCAUGGCUGAUCUGAAGUCAGUCGUAUAUUUUCUCAUAGGCCUGUAACUCCUACGUGAGGUAGCGAACGCAGAGGCGAAUACUUGGCUUAUGUACUGCAGUACAAGGUCUCAUUGUACACACUUGUGCUCUCAUAUUACACAGCUAAAGUUUGCUUUAUACAGUAUAUGUUGAAUGCACUUCAAAUAUGAAAUACUGUAAAACAACUGUACUUAAAGCUUACUGAUGCUGUUUAUGAGACUCAUGGUGUUCACAUGUUACAACUCAGCCUAAUCCUGUUUUACAACCACAGCCCUCCGGCAGAUAACUGAGCCGUCGAAUGAGCUCUGGAAAAUCCUCUUCACACUGUUAUGUUCAAUAAAAAAAAUUACAAAACAUAAUUGGUAGUGAAAUAUGUGGACAAAGGUGACAUCAUGAUACUCAUGACUCUAUAAUAACUAAAUGUGACCCUGGACCACAAACCAAUUU